UACGUAGGGUCCGAGCGUUGUCCGGAAUUAUUGGGCGUAAAGAGCUCGUAGGCGGUUUGUCGCGUCUGCUGUGAAAUCCCGAGGCUCAACCUCGGGUCUGCAGUGGGUACGGGCAGACUGGAGUGCGGUAGGGGGAGAAUGGAAUUCCUGGUGUAGCGGUGGAAUGCGCAGAUAUCAGGAGGAACACCGGUGGCGAAGGCGGGGGUCCUGGGCCAGUACUGACGCUGAGGAGCGAAAGCGUGGGGAGCAAACAGG
rnacentral:rRNA from 1 species